UUUUCAUGGCGAGUUUGAUCCUGGCUCAGAGCGAACGCUGGCGGCGUACUUAACACAUGC
rnacentral:rRNA from 1 species